rnacentral:rRNA from 1 species
GAUGAACGCUGGCGGCGUGCCUAAUACAUGCAAGUCGAGCGAACGGACGAGAAGCUUGCUUCUCUGAUGUUAGCGGCGGACGGGUGAGUAACACGUGGAUAACCUACCUAUAAGACUGGGAUAACUUCGGGAAACCGGAGCUAAUACCGGAUGAUAUUUUGAACCGCAUGGUUCAAAAGUGAAAGACGGUCUUGCUGUCACUUAUAGAUGGAUCCGCGCUGCAUUAGCUAGUUGGUAAGGUAACGGCUUACCAAGGCAACGAUGCAUAGCCGACCUGAGAGGGUGAUCGGCCACACGGGAACUGAGACACCGUCCAUACUCCUACGGGACGCAGCAGUAGGGAAUCUUCCGCAAUGGGCGAAAGCCUUACGGAGCAACGCCGCGUGAGUGAUGAAGGUCUUCGGAUCGUAAUACUCUGUUAUUAGGGAAGAACAUAUGUGUACGUAACUGUGCACAUCUUGACGGUACCUACUCAGAAAGCCACGGCUAACUACGUG